rnacentral:lncRNA from 1 species
GGGUAUUGAGAGGGCACCUUUUGGGAUGAGCACUGGGUGUGGUAUGGAAACCAAUUUGUCAAUAAAUUUCAUAUAUAAAAAAAAUAAAUAAAUAAACCUGCUAAUUAUGCGUUGUAACACAUGGAUAUGCGGUACACUAUAAAUAGAAGAUAAACCUGUGUCCAAUCACUAUCGCACUGCCUGAUUUCCAUUUCCAAGAAGGCAUUUUUCAAUAUGGAAUCAUCCUGAGCCCACGCUUUCUCAGAAACAAACUGAUUUUCAAAGUUCACGAUUUUAUAAUGCAAUUCUAAUUACUUGUGAUGUAUCUCACAAUUAGUCACAUAUGGGAACAUGUUUAAAAACCACUGUCCUAUAAGUAGAGUUCAAAUGUAAUCAAUCACACACACUCAAGCCUCACAUCCUCAUCAUUGCCUACUUCUCCAACCUCAUCUUCCAACACACACUCAAGCCUCACAUCCUCAUCAUUGCCUACUUCUCCAACCUCAUCUUCCAACACUCCAGCUCCAGACUCUGGUCUGAAACAACAACCAGCUUGUCAUUUCUCAUACUUAUCAUGCCAUUUUAUAUUUUUACGUCUAUACCCAACAGUUCAUCUACAUGCUGUUACCUUUCUCACCAACUCCAGUCUUGUUUUUCAUGAAUAUUUAUCCAGUCAUCAAAACUGUAUGCCACUGUCUCAAGUACAGCUUCGUUCUUUACAUAUACCUACAUUACUCAAGUAUAUUACACUGAACAAUAGCCAUAUGUGCACAUCCCAUUGGCUCCCACCCCUGGUACAACUGAGCUUCUCCAGAUCUUGUUCCCCAUAAUACUAGCAAAGAAUAACUUACAUUCAAGAUUUUUAAUAACACACCACUCCCUUGAACAUGGACAAUGUUUGGUACAUAUUCAAAUAAGAACAUUUUCACUAUUGGUCCCUGUGCCAACUUAAAAGCCUAAGAUUUCUCAACUGCUCAUUUAGAUCUGCACCCUUAUCUGUAACAUUAAAGAAACCAGUUCAUUUAAGAAACAAAGACGAUGAGCUCUUAGCUUUAAAUAUUUGACAUAGAGUGAGGUGGGGAAGGCAAUGACCGUUUGUACUCUUAGGAGAGGUUGAGGUGUUCCCCAAUCAUCUUCUGUAGGGUUUUAGACCACCGUCCUCUGAGUGUAAGAAUUGGACUCUAAAUCCAACCAUGCUACUUACUGGUGCGCAUAAUCAGGCAAAUCACUUGGCCUCUUUGAAAUCAGUUUGUUUGGGUUUUGUUUUUUUUUUUUUUUUGUAAUCUAUACAGGAAGAUGACAAUUCCUAGAUUAACUUACUUUAAAAUUCUUUUUCCACCACCCAAUUCCAUGGCCUCUCUAAUAUUUCAGAACAUCACAAAACAUUUAUGAUUUCAUCAUCUCCCUGCUUUUCUUUCAGAGCUAUACCUGCCUAUGCUAACCCAGUGCUGGUUCACACUGGCUCAGAUAAAAAACUUAGUACUUCCUCAUAAUCUAUUAAAAUGUCAACCUCCAAUCCAUAGGUGAAUAGGAAACACCUGACUGAUUAUUUCCAGAAAGGUGAUUGUUAAAGGUUUCUGCUCUUUAAAGUUCAUUUGGGUCAGCACACACCAGGCUUCUACUGAGGGCUUCUCUAGUGGUCUUUCCCCACUCAGCACCCAGUUUUCCUACUCUAGCUCUUGCUCUUCUUGCUUUCUCUUCUUUCUUCACUACUGUCUGGUCUUUUCUUAUAAACAAAAUAAUGAUGUCUUUUUCUCAUGCAGAUCGGGUCCCUAUUCUUUCCCUUAUCCUUCCUUUACAAUGCUUGUAAGAGUCUCACCUAUCCUAAGU